UACGGGGGGGGCAAGCGUUGUUCGGAAUUACUGGGCGUAAAGGGCGCGUAGGCGGUUCGCUAAGUUGAAUGUGAAAACUCUGGGCUUAACCCAGAGCCUGCAUCCAAAACUGGCGAACUGGAGUACUGGAGGGGAAAGCGGAAUUCCUGGUGUAGCGGUGAAAUGCGUAGAUAUCAGGAGGAACACCGGUGGCGAAGGCGGCUUUCUGGACAGUAACUGACGCUGAGGCGCGAAAGCGUGGGGAGCAAACAGG
rnacentral:rRNA from 1 species